rnacentral:rRNA from 1 species
GACGAACGCUGGCGGCGUGCUUAACACAUGCAAGUCGAACGGUGAAGCCCUUCGGGGUGGCUCAGUGGCGAACGGGUGAGUAACACGUGAGCAACCUGCCCCUGGCUCUGGGACAACCACUGGAAACGGUGGCUAAUACCGGAUACGACCCGCCUCGGCAUCGAGUGUGGGUGGAAAGUUUUUCGGCUGGGGAUGGGCUCGCGGCCUAUCAGCUUGUUGGUGAGGUGAAGGCUCACCGAGGCGACGACGGGUAGCCGGCCUGAGAGGGCGACCGGCCACACUGGGACUGAGACACGGCCCAGACUCCUACGGGAGGCAGCAGUGGGGAAUAUUGCACAAUGGGCGAAAGCCUGAUGCAGCGACGCCGCGUGAGGGAUGACGGCCUUCGGGUUGUAAACCUCUUUCAGCUCCGAAGAAGCGAAAGUGACGGUAGGAGCAGAAGAAGCACCGGCUAACUACGUG